GAGUUUGAUCCUGGCUCAGAGCGAACGUUGGCAGUGUGUCUUAAGCAUGCAAGUCGAACGGCAGCAGGCCAUGUAGCAAUAUAUGGUGCUGGCGAGUGGCGAACUGGUGAGUAACACGUAAGAAUCUGCCCUAAGGUGGGGGAUAACUCAUGGAAACAUGAGCUAAUACCGCAUAAUGCGAAGCUUAUAGAGAUAUAAGUUUUGUUAAAGGAGAAAUCCGCCAUAGGAUGAGCUUGCGUCCCAUUAGCUAGUUGGCGGGGUAAAUGCCCACCGAGGCUAUGAUGGGUAGCUGGCCUGAGAGGGUGGUCAGCCACACUGGGACUGAGAUACGGCCCAGACUCCUACGGGAGGCAGCAGCUAAGAAUCUUCCUCAAUGGGGGAAACCCUGAAGGAGCGACACUGCGUGCAGGAUGAAGGCCCUUUGGGUUGUAAACUGCUUUUGCAGGGGAGAAAUAACCGAAUGGGAUGAUAGUACUCUGCGAAUAAGUCCCGGCUAACUACGUGCCAGCAGCCGCGGUAACACGUAGGAGCCAAGCGUUAUCCGAAUUCACUGGGCGUAAAGCGCGUGUAGGCGGCUUAUUAAGUUGGAUGUGAAAGCUCCCGGCUCAACUGGGAGAGGACGUUCAAGACUGGUAGGCUAGAGGGCGACAGAGGGAGGUGGAAUUCCCGGUGUAGUGGUGAAAUGCGCAGAUAUCGGGAGGAACACCAGUGGCGAAAGCGGCCUCCUGGGUCGCACCUGACGCUCAGACGCGAAAGCUAGGGGAGCGAACGGGAUUAGAAACCCCGGUAGUCCUAGCCGUAAACGAUGUAGACUUGGUGUUGGUGGGGUAAAAGCCAUCGGUG
rnacentral:rRNA from 1 species